GUAGCGGACGGGUGAGGAACACGUAAGAACCUACCCCUAGGAGGGGGACAACAACUGGAAACGGUUGCUAAUACCCCAUAUGCUGAGGAGUAAAAUGAGGCCGUUUGGCCUCGCCUAGGGACGGGCUUGCGUCUGAUUAGUUAGUUGGGGAGGUAAUGGCUUCCCAAGGCGAUGAUCAGUAGCUGGUCUGAGAGGAUGAUCAGCCACACUGGGACUGAGACACGGCCCAGACUCCUACGGGAGGCAGCAGUGAGGAAUUUUCCGCAAUGGGCGAAAGCCUGACGGAGCAAUGCCGCGUGGAGGAUGAAAGCCUGUGGGUCGUAAACUCCUUUUCUCAGAGAAGAAGAUCUGACGGUAUCUGAGGAAUAAGCAUCGGCUAACUCCGUGCCAGCAGCCGCGGUAAUACGGAGGAUGCAAGCGUUAUCCGGAAUGAUUGGGCGUAAAGCGUCUGUAGGUCGUUUCCUAAGUCUCCUGUCAAAGAUCAAGGCUUAACCUUGAAAAGGCAGUGGAAACUGGGAGGCUUGAGUACGGUAGAGGCGGAGGGAAUUCCCGGUGUAGCGGUGAAAUGCGUAGAGAUCGGGAAGAACACCAAAGGCGAAAGCACUCUGCUGGGCCGAAACUGACACUGAGAGACGAAAGCGAGGGGAGCAAAUGGGAUUAGAUACCCCAGUAGUCCUC
rnacentral:rRNA from 1 species